UAUCUUUGGUUAUCUAGCUGUAUGAGUGUAAAUCAGCCGUCAUAAAGCUAGAUAACCGAAAGUAGGAAUAACUUCCAUGACGUCAUAAAGAAGAGAAGACCAUAAGUUACAUGAUGAGAUUACAUCCAUCUGUAAGAUAUAACAAAGAGCAUUCUCAAUAGGAGCUUCUUUCUACAGCAGAGCUUAACCCAGUCACUAAUUCUGUGGUGUUGAGGAAAUACUGAACACAGCUCCACAAGGGCAAGGAGAGAAUUAAAAUUUCAUAGCAGGAUGCCGAUGAAUGGCUGGGCCUACGAUUCAAAAAUGGCUUCCGGUGUGCAGAGGCACGGAAAAUGCCGGAGACUACAGCCCUGCGCGGAGUACGUAGAAUCUCAAACGCCAGCCAAUCAAAUUAGCCAUUUUUCCCAAGCUUUGUUUUCAAUAUGUGUGAUCAUCACUCCACCAAUAUGAAGUGCCAGCGUUGAUAAAACAAAAAGGAGACAAGCAAAUGCAAGCAUUUUCCUUGUUUGGAUGACAUCUUAUUUCUAAUUCAUCAAACCGAGGACUGUUUUUUUUUUUUUUUUUUUUGUGGAUGGAGGCCAUUUUGAUGGAACCGAGGAAUACUUUAAGAUGGCCGCUUUGGCACAAGGUGAAGAAAGAAAUCAUUGGUUCAAAAACUGGACCUCUUGUGUUGUCCUGGAAUCCUCAUUUUCUUCCUGGCAUAACGACAGGUCACCAAGAUGAGCCACUGAAUGUCCUCAAACAGCAUGACUCAGCUAACGUGCUCUGUAAAUAAACUGGACGCAUAAUGGACUGUAGGUGGAAGGAAAACAUCAUUAUUAUUCAAGUUUAAAGUAGAAAUUAAAGUGGAGCAAAUACACAAGAAUUCACCUCUGCAAUGAUAAUACAAAAUUCCAAAUGCAUUUCAUGAAAUAGUAUAGUUUCUAUACUUUAUCGGACAUGAGAAAUAUUUGAAUGUGGUUUCAGAUUUGUACAAAAGUUAAAGUGAUUACUGAAUGUAAUGAAAUGCAUAAAAUUAGGUCUAAUUUUAAUGCAUAUUAACAAAAUAUGAUGUAUUUUUUUAUUAUGACUAUUAUUAUUGCCUUUAGAGUGUUAUUAUUACAUUUAAGAAAGUACUACUAUAGUACUGUAUGCAACAUGUUGCAUAUAGGAGGAAUAGGUUUACUCUGCAACUAUAUGGGAAUGAGAACCAGACAUACUGUUUGUACUUUAUAAAUGACAAUAAUCUGUUUGCUAAUGUAUUAAAUGAUUACAUUUUUAAAGUAUUUUUGAAUAAAAAGGUGAACUAAAAAGAUUAAUUGAUAUACCUA